rnacentral:rRNA from 1 species
AACGAACGCUGGCGGCAUGCCUAACACAUGCAAGUCGAACGCCUGUAGCAAUACAGGAGUGGCAGACGGGUGAGUAACACGUGGGAAUCUACCCAGUAGCUCGGAAUAACCGCGGGAAACUGCGGCUAAUACCGGAUAAGCCCCGAGGGGGAAAGGAGCAAUCCACUAUUGGAGGAGCCCGCGUCUGAUUAGCUAGUUGGUGAGGUAACGGCUCACCAAGGCGACGAUCAGUAGCUGGUUUGAGAGAACGACCAGCCACACUGGGACUGAGACACGGCCCAGACUCCUACGGGAGGCAGCAGUGGGGAAUGUUGGGCAAUGGGGGAAACACUGAUCCAGCAAUGCCGCGUGGGUGAUGAAGACCUUCGGGUUGUAAAGCCCUUUUGUCGGGGACGAUGAUGACGGUACCCGACGAAUAAGCUCCGACUAACUUCGUGCCAGCCGCCGCAGUAA